ACUGCCUCUACUUCUGCUUUUCAAGUUCCACAGUAACAUCCCUGAGGAAGGCUGCCUGCUGUAGCUGAAAGAAAUCCAUUUCCACCAUUUCGUGU